UACACUCCUGCGGGAGGCAGCAGUGGGGAAUAUUGGACAAUGGGCGCAAGCCUGAUCCAGCCAUGCCGCGUGAGUGAUGAAGGCCCUAGGGUUGUAAAGCUCUUUCACCGGUGAAGAUAAUGACGGUAACCGGAGAAGAAGCCCCGGCUAACUUCGUGCCAGCAGCCGCGGUAAUACGAAGGGGGCUAGCGUUGUUCGGAUUUACUGGGCGUAAAGCGCACGUAGGCGGACUAUUAAGUCAGGGGUGAAAUCCCGGGGCUCAACCCCGGAACUGCCUUUGAUACUGGUAGUCUUGAGUUCGAGAGAGGUGAGUGGAAUUCCGAGUGUAGAGGUGAAAUUCGUAGAUAUUCGGAGGAACACCAGUGGCGAAGGCGGCUCACUGGCUCGAUACUGACGCUGAGGUGCGAAAGCGUGGGGAGCAAACAGGAUUAGAAACCCCAGUAGUCCCAUGAU
rnacentral:rRNA from 1 species